AUUUCGUAUAUUAAGUUGUUGCAGUUAAAAAGCUCGUAGUUGGAUUUUGGGCGGGCGCAGCCGGUCCGUCGCAGGGCGUGUUACUGGUUGCGCUCGCUCGCCUUCGGUUCUCCGUCGGUGCUCUUGACUGAGUGUCGGCGGUGGCCGAGAAGUUUACUUUGAAAAAUUAGAGUGUUCAAAGCAGGCUGUUCGCCUGUAUAGUGUUGCAUGGAAUAAUGGAAUAGGACCUCGGUUCUAUUUCGUUGGGUUUCGGAGCGCGAGGUAAUGAUUAAGAGGGACAGACGGGGGCGUCCGUACUCUGCCGUUAGAGGUGAAAUUCUUGGAUCGGCGGAAGACGAACUACUGCGAAAGCAUUCGCCAAGAAUGUUUUCUUUAAUCAAGAGCGAAGUCAGAGGUUCGAAGACGAUC
rnacentral:rRNA from 1 species